GAUGAACGCUAGCGACAGGCUUAACACAUGCAAGUCGAGGGGCAUCAUGAGGUAGCAAUACCUUGAUGGCGACCGGCGCACGGGUGAGUAACGCGUAUGCAACCUGCCCGAUACCGGGGUACAGCCCAUGGAAACGUGGAUUAACACCCCAUAGUACUUUUAUCCUGCCUGGGAUGGGAGUUGAAUGUUCAAGGUAUCGGAUGGGCAUGCGUCCUAUUAGUGAGUUGGCGGGGUAACAGCACACCAAGACGAUGAUAGGUAGGGGUUCUGAGAGGAAGGUCCCCCACAUUGGAACUGAGACACGGUCCAAACUCCUACGGGAGGCAGCAGUGAGGAAUAUUGGUCAAUGGACGUAAGUCUGAACCAGCCAAGUCGCGUGAGGGAAGACUGCCCUAUGGGUUGUAAACCUCUUUUAUAAGGGAAGAAUAAGUUCUACGUGUAGAAUGAUGCCUGUACCUUAUGAAUAAGCAUCGGCUAACUCCGUGCCAGCCGCCGCCGUAA
rnacentral:rRNA from 1 species